rnacentral:rRNA from 1 species
AUUGAACGCUGGCGGCAUGCCUUACACAUGCAAGUCGAACGGUAACAGGUCUUCGGAUGCUGACGAGUGGCGAACGGGUGAGUAAUGCAUCGGAACGUGCCCAGUAGUGGGGGAUAGCCCGGCGAAAGCCGGAUUAAUACCGCAUACGACCUGAGGGUGAAAGGGGGGGAUCGCAAGACCUCUCGCUAUUGGAGCGGCCGAUGUCAGAUUAGCUAGUUGGUGGGGUAAAGGCCUACCAAGGCAACGAUCUGUAGUUGGUCUGAGAGGACGACAAGCCACACUGGGACUGAGACACGGCCCAGACUCCUACGGGAGGCAGCAGUGGGGAAUUUUGGACAAUGGGCGCAAGCCUGAUCCAGCAAUGCCGCGUGCAGGAAGAAGGCCUUCGGGUUGUAAACUGCUUUUGUCAGGGAAGAAAUCUUCUGGGUUAAUACCUCGGGAGGAUGACGGUACCUGAAGAAUAAGCACCGGCUAACUACGUGCCAGCAGCCGCCGCGG